rnacentral:rRNA from 1 species
AUUGAACGCUGGCGGCAUGCCUUACACAUGCAAGUCGAACGGCAGCACGGGAGCAAUCCUGGUGGCGAGUGGCGAACGGGUGAGUAAUAUAUCGGAACGUGCCCAGUCGUGGGGGAUAACGCAGCGAAAGCUGUGCUAAUACCGCAUACGAUCCAUGGAUGAAAGCGGGGGAUCGCAAGACCUCGCGCGAUUGGAGCGGCCGGUAGCAGAUUAGAUAGUUGGUGGGGUAAAAGCCCACCAAGGCGACGAUCUGUAGCGGGUCUGAGAGGACGGUCAGGCGCACUGGAACUGAGACACGGUCCAGACGCCUACGAGAGGCAGCAGUGGGGAAUUUUGGACAAUAGGCGCAAGCCUGAUCCAGCAAUGCCGCGUGCAGGAUGAAGGCCUUCGGGUUGUAAACUGCUUUUGUACGGAACGAAACGGCGAGCUCUAAUAAAGUUUGCUAAUGACGGUACCGUAAGAAUAAGCACCGGCUAACUACGUGCCAGCAGCCGCCGUAA